UGGGGAAUUUUGGACAAUGGGGGCAACCCUGAUCCAGCAAUGCCGCGUGUGUGAAGAAGGCCUUCGGGUUGUAAAGCACUUUUGUCCGGAAAGAAAACGCCGUGGUUAAUACCCGUGGCGGAUGACGGUACCGGAAGAAUAAGCACCGGCUAACUACGUGCCAGCAGCCGUGGUAAUACGUAGGGUGCAAGCGUUAAUCGGAAUUACUGGGCGUAAAGCGUGCGCAGGCGGUCCGCUAAGACAGAUGUGAAAUCCCCGGGCUUAACCUGGGAACUGCAUUUGUGACUGGCGGGCUAGAGUAUGGCAGAGGGGGGUAGAAUUCCACGUGUAGCAGUGAAAUGCGUAGAGAUGUGGAGGAAUACCGAUGGCGAAGGCAGCCCCCUGGGCCAAUACUGACGCUCAUGCACGAAAGCGUGGGGGAGCAAACAGGAUU
rnacentral:rRNA from 1 species